GGUUUUUGAGUUAUAAGCCAAAAACUGCAUUUUACCCCUAUGUUCUAUUUUAAGCCAUGGCGGCCAUCUUGGUUGGUUGGCCGGGUCAAAAAACACAAAUUUUAAACUAGAUACAUCAAUGAUGAUUGUGGCCAAGUUUGGUUUAAUUUGGCCCAGUAGUUUCAGAGGAGAAGAUUUUUGUAAAAGUUAACGCCGGACGACGGACGCCAAGUGAUGAGAAAAGCUCACUUGGCCCUUCGGGCCCGGUGAGCUAAAAA
rnacentral:lncRNA from 1 species